CCUACGGGAGGCAGCAGUGAGGAAUAUUGGUCAAUGGACGCAAGUCUGAACCAGCCAUGUCGCGUGCAGGAAGACGGCUCUAUGAGUUGUAAACUGCUUUUGUACGAGGGUAAACGCAGACACGUGUAUCUGUCUGAAAGUAUCGUACGAAUAAGGAUCGGCUAACUCCGUGCCAGCAGCCGCGGUAAUACGGAGGAUUCAAGCGUUAUCCGGAUUUAUUGGGUUUAAAGGGUGCGUAGGGGGGCGGAUAAGUUAGAGGUGAAAUCUCGAGGCUCAACUUCGAAAUUGCAUUUGAUACUGUCAGUCUAGAGAAUAGUUGCGGUAGGCGGAAUGUAUGGUGUAGCGGUGAAAUGCUUAGAUAUCAUACAGAACUCCGAUUGCGAAGGCAGCUUACUAAGCUACUUCUGACAUUGAGGCACGAAAGCGUGGGGAGCAAACAGGAUUAGAUACCCUAGUAGUC
rnacentral:rRNA from 1 species